CCUACGGGAGGCAGCAGCAGGGAAUAUUGCACAAUGGGCGAAAGCCUGAUGCAGCGACGCCGCGUGGGGGAUGAAUGCCUUCGGGUUGUAAACCCCUUUCAGGAGGGACGAAGCGAAAGUGACGGUACCUCCAGAAGAAGCCCCGGCCAACUACGUGCCAGCAGCCGCGGUAAUACGUAGGGGGCGAGCGUUGUCCGGAUUUAUUGGGCGUAAAGAGCUCGUAGGCGGCUCAGCAAGUCGGCCGUGAAAGCCCAGGGCUCAACCCUGGGACGCCGGUCGAAACUGCUGUGGCUAGGGUCCGGUAGAGGAGAGUGGAAUUCCCGGUGUAGCGGUGAAAUGCGCAGAUAUCGGGAGGAACACCAGUAGCGAAGGCGGCUCUCUGGGCCGGUACCGACGCUGAGGAGCGAAAGCUAGGGGAGCAAACAGGAUUAGAUACCCUGGUAGUCCUAGCCGUAAACGUUGGACACUAGGUGUGGCGGAUUCAUUGACGUCUGCCGUGCCGAAGCUAACGCAUUAAGUGUCCCGCCUGGGGAGUACGGUCGCAAGGCUAAAACUCAAAGGAAUUGACGG
rnacentral:rRNA from 1 species